GUGGGGAAUCUUCCGCAAUGGACGAAAGUCUGACGGAGCGACGCCGCGUGAGUGAUGAAGGCCCUUGGGUCGUAAAGCUCUGUCAUCAGGGACGAACGGUCACGUCAGGAAAUGGGCGUGAAUUGACGGUACCUGAGAAGGAAGCCACGGCUAACUACGUGCCAGCAGCCGCGGUAAUACGUAGGUGGCGAGCGUUGUCCGGAAUUAUUGGGCGUAAAGCGCGCGCAGGUGGGAUCUUAAGUCUGUUCUGAAAGUUCGGAGCUUAACUCCGUGAUGGGAUGGAAACUGGGAUUCUUGAGUAUCGGAGAGGAAAGCGGAAUUCCCCGUGUAGCGGUGAAAUGCGUAGAUAUGGGGAGGAACACCAGUGGCGAAGGCGGCUUUCUGGACGAUGUCUGACACUGAGGCGCGAAAGCCAGGGGAGCGAACGGGAUUAGAAACCCUGGUAGUCC
rnacentral:rRNA from 1 species